ACGAACGCUGGCGGCGUGCCUAAUACAUGCAAGUCGAACGGUCUUUCUAUGGAAGCUUGCUUCCACUGAGAAGAUAGUGGCGAACGGGUGAGUAACACGUGGGUAACCUGCCCAUAAGAGGGGGAUAACAUCCGGAAACGGGUGCUAAUACCGCAUAGUUUCUUGAUCGCAUGAUCGGGAAAGGAAAGACGGCCUUUGUGCUGUCGCUUAUGGAUGGACCCGCGGCGUAUUAGUUAGUUGGUGAGGUAACGGCUCACCAAGACGAUGAUACGUAGCCGACCUGAGAGGGUGAUCGGCCACAUUGGGACUGAGACACGGCCCAAACUCCUACGGGAGGCAGCAGUAGGGAAUCUUCCGCAAUGGACGAAAGUCUGACGGAGCAACGCCGCGUGAGUGAAGAAGGUUUUCGGGAAUCGUAAAACUCUGUUGUCAGAGAAGAACAAGUUGGAGAGUAACUGCUCCAGCCUUGACGGUAUCUGACCAGAAAGCCACGGCUAACUACGUGCCAGCAGCUGC
rnacentral:rRNA from 1 species